UACAGAGGUCCCAAGCGUUGUUCGGAUUCACUGGGCGUAAAGGGUGCGUAGGCGGUCGGGUAAGUCUGAUGUGAAAUCUCCAAGCUCAACUUGGAAAUGGCAUCGGAUACUAUUCGGCUGGAGGAAUGGAGGGGAGACUGGAAUACUUGGUGUAGCAGUGAAAUGCGUAGAUAUCAGGAGGAACACCGGUGGCGAAGGCGGCUUCCUGGACCGAUCACUGACGCUGAGGCGCGAAAGCUAGGGGAGCAAACGGG
rnacentral:rRNA from 1 species